rnacentral:sRNA from 1 species
AUAGUUGAUAGAUAGCUUUUCGGAGCUAAGUAAAUAUUUAAUUGGUAUAUGCUUUCACAGCCAGCAUUCAUAAUUCAUUUCGUCUAUUGGACUUUUCCACCUGUUGAGCAUCCGAAAUACAAUUAUCAACGAAACCAAAUCAAUAUCUAAUUUCGACGGAGGAGCCCAGAGUAACAUAGCCAGCCAAAUGCCAUCAAUCAUGCGAUAGACGCCGCAUGACAUAACCUAUCCAGCUGCGUCUGGAUUUGCUUCCAUCUGUAUUUGUAUAUGUAUCUGAAUCUGGCUGUAUUUUCGGCUGUAUCUACAGACCACUGCUGCCGUAUAAAACUGAACCUUUUGAGUGCGACCAAGAGGGCCGAAGCCUACGCAGAAGUAUCUCAUGGAUAGCCGAGUGAGUAGUGGCCAAGAGAGCCCAACAUAAACCCACAAAAGAUACCGAAAAAUGUGGACCAUCAACGUCAUCAAUGAAUCUCUGGUGUGCACACGAAUUCGUCCAACUCCUUGCCAUGCAAAUCCCAUUUGGCCAUUGGCCCUCUGAUUCUGUAAUAAAUUCCACAAUAGACUGUUGAUAUUUGAUGGACUCUAGCCGGUCACAAAUCAGCCACAUUAACUGGCACGAGACAACAUUCAAAUGUUAAUUAAUCAAGAGCCAUAACGAGUUUUCCUAUGCCGGCAUGGAUAUCGAAUGGAUUGACUGAGGUUAGUUCGCCGAGCGAGUUGGCUAUUCGCAGUGAAUGUGGCAUCAGAAGCCGGAAAAAAUCACCUUUUUCGUUGGCUCCUUGGCCAACUGAAGUCUAAACUGAUCACUUCGAACUGAAAACAAAACGAAAAAAAAACCCAAUGAAAAACAGGUUGCGGCUACCGAAGAAGAAGAGGAUGCGUUCUGGCCAGGAUGAUGGCCCGUAGCGGAUCUGCCUGCCGGUGGUGGAUUGCUCCUAACCUGGCCGAGACAGCUGCAAAACCGCCAAGAGAGCCAGGCGCUAACAAACUCAUUUUAAGCACGCCGCAUGAAGAAUGGGAAAAGGUUGGUAACACGCCGAGAAAGAGAGACAGAGAGAGAGAGAGCUAGAGAGAGCGAGGGAGAAAGGGGUCGAACGAGGAGCAGUAGCAGAAAACCAGUCUUACAACAAUUUUUCAGCUACUUGCCACUGGCAGGCUCGAAAUGGACUUGACUUGACUCUUCCAAUUGCACCAAACACACCGCAUUCCAACUAGAAAAUCAUAAAACAUAAAUGUGCGAUAGUAUCUGGUCCCGCUCGAAAUAUAACAAAGGCCCUGUUAAUGGCCUCGAAAAUAAAAUCUAUCUUAAUAAAUUGGCAAUCCGACAAAAUCGUCGAGUGAAUAAUGUAUCCAGCAGAUAAGUUUGUCCCGGCCUGCUGAAAUAUUUAUGCGCCAGACAAAGGGCGCAGAUACAAAGAUACAAAAGCAAUGGCAAAGGCAAAAUCCCAUGGACAAGUGUGAAAUGCAGGGAAAACAAAGCACUUGCAACGCUCAGAUACAGAUACAUUUGUAUCUCGUACAGGCAUUUGAUUCCACGAUUCCCCGAUUCCGAUUUCGGUUAUGUUUUGACCCGACUCUUCUCCUUUCCCUCCUCUCGCUCUCCGCGUUUUUAACCCACGUUUUAAUGUGACUUUUAUUGUGCUUCCUCCUUUUGUUGUCUCAUUUGGUAUUCAGUUUAAUGUUUGUUUAGAGCUUCGCGUUUGUAUCUUUUUGCGACGGCUCUGAACUUUAACAGUUGCACUGUGUGAGCGUCGGACUUCGACUUCAUCGGCCAACUGUUUGUGCCAACUGCUAAUUGGAGAUGGCCAAGACAGAGGCCUUAGGUUUAAAGGCCCAAUUGGAGCUCUAUUUUAUUGCCGAAGCCCUAGAGCUGAAAGCCGUUAAU